CAUUUCAAGUGCCUGAUUUAGUAAUAAUUGUCUUUAUUUGAAACAAGAGAGAAACAAUGGAGUCAUUUCCAAUUUACAACUACUUUCCAAAUACUCGUCUUGUUCUUGAAGGCAACAUCCAAACUAGGUUUAUGACCAAGCCACGGAUUCGUGUUUAGGCAGUGUCAACUGUAUCUGUCUGAUAAGUUAGUGUUACAUAAAAAUAAUAUUUCAAAAGGAUGAUUGACGACAGCCAAUUUAUAAGUAUCUUCAAAGGGAAACGUAUUAAAUUGACCCUCAAGUCUUCGUCUUAUCUUGGUGUCGUGCAGCGCAUUGACGCUAACAAGGCGUUGGUCCUUACGAAUGUCAUAAAUGGCAGCAAUGGACGUGAAAUUCCCGGUUCGAGAUUGUUCUUUGGUCCUGACAUUCAUAAUGUUGAAUUUACCAAUGAAGAGGACAUAGAGAAUGGAAAUAUUCCUGAAGACCUGGAAAAGCACUUGGAGGUGAAAAGUUUCCAGCCAUAUAGAAAUUACUUUUUCCAUGAUGAUGAUGAAGAAUACAUCAACUUUGAAGUUAUUGAUGAGUUUCAUGAGAAGUUUGGACUUGCUGUGAUGAACAUCAAGAAGCAGCAUGUGGUUGGCGUGGGGGCUGAUGGGGUUGCGCUAUACAAACAUGGAAGAAUGUGUUGGCUUCAGAUUGCCACGAAAAACAAGGUCUAUCUAUUUGACAUCCUUUUACUUGGAGCGCGGGCCUUUAAGAAUGGUCUUUCCAUGAUUCUGCAGAAUAAGCACAUACUGAAAGUAAUCCAUGACUGCAGAGCUAUUGCUGGAUGUCUUAAUACACAGUUUGGAGUGAAGCUGACUAAUGUAUUUGACACACAGGUGGCAGAUGUCAUGUGUUUCCACUCUGAGACAGGAGGUUUCCUUCCAGACAGAGUGAGCACUCUUCAGGAAGUGGUGAGCCUCCACCUGAAGGUCCCCUCCUCCCAGCUCUUGUCACUGAAGAUCAAGUCCAAGCUGACCAUGGAUGAAACAGAGAUGUGGUACACGCGUCCGUGUCCCAUAGCCUUGCUAAAGGUGAUGACGCUAUCCGUGAUCCACUUACAGCCCCUCAGACUGGUGCUGCUGGAUUCUCUCCUGACAGACUACAUGGCCUUGGUGGACACUUACAUCACGAACAGCCAGUACCCACUUGAUGAUUUAGAGAGCAUAAAUAUGGCUGGUAGGCUAUGUCCGGAUGGAGGUGAAGCGUCACUGGCUGGGGACGAAACAGCCCGGAACGGAGUCGCAGGAGGUCGGCAGCAGAAUAUUGGAGGAGAGCAGUCACCGGAGAGUGGACGUGGGUCAAAAGAAUCCACAUCAGCGGGAUCCAAACAUUUGAUCUGGUCAUCCACAUUGUGGCGGCAAACGAGAAGUGGCGUCUUUCGCCAAACUCCGAUGAUCAGCAGAUUUUAAAUAUAACGCUUGAAAGGUGUGGGGGAUGGCAGUCACCGUUGCAGCCUUCAAAGCCCUCUAAAACAACUUCAAAACCUUGCAGCAACGUUGUAUAUACAGCAGCUUACGUCAGACUUCUGGCAAAAUGUGUCUUCCUACUUCUGGAAUCAAACACGAAUGUGUUUUUUAAUCAUGGCAGACUUGGUAACAGACAACAAAGACAACUAUUUUUGGACAAAUGAGGAUUCUCAACCAUAUACUUUAGAAGCUAAAUAUACUGCUGCCUAUAGAAGCCAGCACAAAGGAAAAGUGAGACGUUGGAGCCGACGGAAGCCCGGAGAGGGGGAUUAAAGAGAUUUUGACGCUAUAAAUAUGGAACUUGGAGCUAAGCUAUUUCAACAUAAAUGGAGUGCUUACUCAAAAUCAACAGGAAAUGUCCCCGGCCAGCUGGACCAGACGAACAUCUGUCAAUCGAAGUCUUACGGCCUGAGGGAAGAAGCUGUUACAGAACCUGGAGGUUCUGCUUCAGAGACUGCGGAACCUCUUUCUAGAGUGAAAACAGUCCUUGGUGGGGGUGGGAGGAGUCUUAGCAGAUUUUCUGAGCCCUGGUCAGGCAGCGACUUUUUGCGAUCUCCUGGAUAGGAGGAAGAGGAGUCCUGAUGAUCUUUUCCGCCAUCCUCACCACUCUCUGGAGAGACUUCCAGUCUGAGGCACUGCAGGCUCCAGUCCAGACAGAGAUGCUGUUGGUCAGCAGGCUCUCUAUAGUGCCUCUGUAGAAUGUGCUGAGAAUGGGGGGAGGGAGCUGUGCUCUUUUCAUCCGACGCAAAAAGUGCAUGCCCCUGCUGAGCUCUUUUUACAAGAGCCAACAAAAAUUAGAUUACCUGUUACUAGAAUAUACUUAAUGUAAGCCUGUCUGUUUACAUGAUCAAAAUCUGAAUUAUGGGCCUGAUCUACUGAGUUCCUAAAAACUAGUGCUAAAUAGGGUGUGUAAAGUAAAUAAUUGCACAUACUUAGGGCUGCAGCUAUCAAUUAUUUUAGAAAUUGCGUAAUCUAUCGAUUAACUUAUUCAAUUAGUCGUUGGCCCUAGUGUGUGAAUGUGAGUGUGAAUGUUGUCUGUCUAUCUGUGUUGGCCCUGCGAUGAGGUGGCGACUUGUCCAGGGUGUACCCCGCCUUCCGCCUGAAUGCGGCUGAGAUAGGCUCCAGCACCCCCCGCGUCCCCGAAAGGGACAAGCGGUAGAAAAUGGAUGGAUGGAUAGUCGGAUAAAAAACACCAUAUAGCCUCAAUGUGUAUUUUAGAGAAAUGUGUCAAAAUAAACCCUUUUUGCUUGCCAUAACCUUCAUUCUUCAUUCAAUAGAUGCAUAUCAUCAACAAUUAAAUUGCAGUUUUAAAAUGUUUGCAUUAAUAAAAAAUAAAAACUCUGCUGUUCGCCGCUAGGUAGAUCACAGCACCCACACACCACAGCUCUCAUGUUCACUGUAUUGCAGCAGCUGUGAAGAAACUCUGUGUAUUCAAAUAUUCUCAGUCUGCAUUUCAUCCAUUUUUAUUACCCUCAUUUAACGAUUAAUCAAAGCGACAAAAUACAAAUCAAAGCUUUAUUUUGAUCAAUUACUCGUUGUAACCCUACACGUACUAUUAGUAUGUGCAAAUAGAUAUUGUUGCAGCUGAUCUAUUAAGACUGCAUGCCCGAUUGAUAACAAGUGCAAAAGUAGUGUAGACCGCCCUAUUUAAAUGAGAUUUUCUUCUAUCACCACUAGGGUUGCAAAAUUCCGGGAAUAUUCAAAGUUGGACUCUUUCCAUGGGAAUUAACGGGAAUAUGUGGGAAUUAACAGAAAUUAAUGGGAAUAAACAUUGAAUGCAACAUACUAGAUCUUGCAGGUUAGCUAAAACAACCUGAUUUUUUGCAAAUUCAGUUGGAUUUCAACCCUACACUGUGCAUUCCUCCAUCACAUGUGCAGUGCAUUCUUCCAUCACAUGCACAGAUAAUUCCCAGCAUGCUACACACUACAGCAGGGCUAUUGAGGCCACACUAGUAUUUGUGUCAUGUCUUUGUGAUCAUGUUUUGUUUGGUUAUGUUCUGUUGGUUUUUGGACUCUUUGUGCACUCUUGUUUGUUUUGUUACCAUGCCGACCCAUUAGUUUUCACCUGUUUCACGUUUUGGACUCACGCACCUGUCACUAAUUAGGUCACUAGCAUUUAAUCGUGUAGCUGCCAGGCAGUCGGCCUGGCGACAUCACUCUGCUUCAUGCCAUGUUUACUGUUUCAUGCUUAGUUCACGCUGCUUUUUUCAUAGUCCAUGCUGCCCUGCUCACGUCACCGCAAGUAAGUUUUUGUUUAUUAAUGCCACAGUUAGUGUCUUUUGUUUCAUGUCCAUAGUUUAAGCCUUAGUGCUAAUUUUGUUUCCAGCGUUAAGUUUUGUGCCUCCGCUGCGAGCGCUUUUUGUUUGUACACUUUUCAUAGUA